rnacentral:lncRNA from 1 species
UGGGAGCUCUCCUCCACCUUUGACUGCACACACUGGCUGGCUCCAUGGCAAGCCCGUCUCUCGGAGGUGGGUGCACAUUUUCUGCUGAAAGCUUUCCUCAUUCGUUCAGCACUUCUGACACCAUGUCGUGCUGCUAAUCGGGCUUAAUGAAGCUGCAUCUUUGUCAAGGAGAGAGGAAUUGAAAUCAAAUGCAAGGAGUUGGUCUGCUCUGGUAUAGAAAGUCUGCUUUGCCUGCCUAGACAGACCCCUCCUUCUCCUCCAUUCCGGCCCGGUUUUAUACUCUUAUAUAACGGUGAAACAAGUGAGGCUGGUGUAGACCCACCACAAAUCUGUGGUGGUCCUGAUGAGAAGUGUAGUGAGAGGCAAAAGGUUAAAGCCCCCUCCCCGCCACGCAUUAGUGUCCUGGCCUGGAUCAGGCUCCCUGUCCUGGGCAAUUUAUGUCACUCCCCACCUAUUAAAGGCACAGGUGCAUCAAUGACAUGCCAUAUUGGCCCUCAGUUCACCUAGAGCGCAAUCAUCCGAGGAGCAUCGUCAGAUGUAAUUUCCACAAAACCAAACGAAGCCUAUUCCCAAGUCAGCUUGCGGAGGAUUCCUUGGAAAUGUGGCCAGCCAACCCCACUGAGGGCAGGGGGGCUGGACUUGUGCCCCUAAGUCCUGCCCUGGUGGCAAGGCUGUAAGCAGCAGACGGCCAAGCCUGAGCCCCCUUCCCCUCCCCCAUGCCCCUGAAAAGAGAGCUCGGCUCAGUCCUCCUGAUGCCAUCAGAGGCUGCGUCUAAUUAGUGGUUUUUCUGCGGCUGCCUGAGAGUGCUCUGUGGCUUCGUUCCUAGAGUGAUUUGACGGCCUCUCGGAGGCUCUCGGGCCCAUUAAGGCGGAGGUCUUGGGGUGGCUAAUGGGGAAUUGGUUGGUGCCUCUCCUGAUACUUUGGCGGCAGCCAGGGGUGAGGGGUGGCAUGCUGUUUUACAGUAUCUUGGGUUUUCCGUUUGAGAAUCCAUCUCCAGCCGCAGUGGCGUGGCUGGCUCUUGGGACUGGGCUUGCUGCUGCCCCUUAGUUUCCACCUGAGCAGGACCACUUCAGAAAUGCAGACCCCCGACCUGUGCCGGUUGCAUCUUGGUCUGGGGCACGAUGGAGGAGUCCAGCAGGGUCUAACCAGGAAUAGUUUGCAAAGGACAGCAGCAAUCUCUUUCUCUAGAGGGCCACAGGGAAUGAAAGUGGGGGCAGGAGGAGGAGGGUAUGUGGGGGUGGGCAGAGAUAGCUCAAGCUUUGCAAACAGAAGGGGCCCAGGUUCAAUCCCCACCCCCCUAGGGGACUCUUGCCAGUCAGGGGGGAUGAUACCAAGCUGGCUGGGGAAAUGGGAUGACCUGGUGAAAGGCAGCUUCUGGGGGUUCAGGGGAGAAGAAGAAGAGUUUGGAUUUGAUAUCCCACUUUAUCAUUGCCCUAAGGAGUCUCAAAGUGGCUAACAUUCUCCUUUCCCUUCCUCCCCCACAACAAACACUCUGUGAGGUGAGUGAGGCUGAGAGACUUCAGAGAAGUGUGACUGGCCCAAGGUCACCCAGCAGCUGCAUAUGGAGGAGCGGAGACGCGAACCCGGUUCACCAGAUUACGAGUCCACCGCUCUUAACCACUACACCACACUGGCUUCAACACUCAGGAGAAUGGCCUACUGUGCCUGUGAAAGGUCCCAGGCUCAGGACCCAGGCUUUUGCCAUCCCAGCAGCCUCCUGAUACUCGAAACUCCAACUCCCACAACUGUUUUGGACUCCCAUCAAAGUUCAAAACAUCUGGGGGGCACCAGAUUGGUGAAAACUGAGCUAGAAGGAUGCUGAGGAGGGCAGCAUCUGAAAAUGGUCCAGAAGCUGCUGGAUGCUAGGAGGUGGCACAACAGCUUGGAAGCUGAGCUGAGCACUGAAUCGCCGUGGGAGGAGCACAUGGAUGUCACCACAACCAUGACUCUGAGUUAGGAAAGGAAGAAAGCUAUAUGUUGACGAAGAAUAUCAGAACAUGAGUUUGUUCAACCCUCUUUUAAAGCCAUCCAAGUUGGCGGCCAUCACUGCCUCUUUGGAAGUGAGCUUCAUAGUUUAACUAUGCUUGAGAGGAAAGAUACUGGCUCUGUCUAACUAAGGUGGAGAGGCCCCUUUCAUCUCUGCAGGAUGUAAUCCACUGGGAGCAGUCAAAGACAACAUUCCUUGUUUUCCUAGAGUGAACAUGCAAGGGGAUGUUGGUCCAGCCAGUUGAACUUCCUGUUCCUCCUGGCCUGGAGCAUCCUUCCUUGCAUGUGAUUAGUGGGUGGGCGUGACAUUUCCAGACCUGGUAAAAGGCCCAGGCAUGCUGCCACUCUCUCCCUUUUCCAUCUUCCUUUUGUCCUGCAAACUUCCUGGGCUGAACUGCUGGCUGCCAGGUCACCUCCCUUAUGGGGUAAACCUGUUUGUAUAUUGUCAGGGGUUCAGGAGCAGAGGCAAGGGCAAGGGAGGAAACAGAGAGCGAGGGGGAGGAGGCAGAAGAAAAGAUGAGUGAUGACGACGACCCGAGAUCUCCGAGUCUUUCCAGUGAAUCAGAAGAUUCACAGAAAGGAGCACCAGUGGCCAGGGCAAGGGGGAGCCUAGGGGACGCCCCAGGAAGAUAGAGCCAGAGGGGACUCAGAGGGGAGCAGUUGGAAAUCGGGACCAGCGUCACCGCCAGAGAGCAGGGAAGAGGAAGGGAGCCAGGGAUCAAGCGCUGGCAGCUCACAACAGGGGGGAGGGCACGAGUCAGGAGUGGCCACACCUCCAUCGGGGAGCGAAGAAACGGUCAGACGGAAGGUGGAAGGUUGGGCGCGCGCGCCAAGUUCAAAUGCACAGGAAGGUGGCACAGUAGGCAGCCCGGAAAGGGAGCCAGGUCCUAAAGCCCGCCGAAAGGAGGGAGAAGAGUCAGGGGGGGGAACGUCAGCGUCAGAAGAAUCCCGGAAAGAAGAGACCCCAGGGGGCAGAGGGACCCAGAGAAGAACAGUCAGGCGGAAAAGGUGGAGCAGGGCUAGGAUAUUAAGUUGGUGUACAAGGGGCGGAGACUCAGACGGAGCUUCGCCGAUCUAACCCCUAGACGUAGAGCUGGGGCGCUGCGGCUUGAAAAUGGAAACUGUACUUCAAUAAAGACUUUUGUACAUUACUGCCGGCUAGCGUUGGUCCUCUGUGAGCUGGGACCUGGAGCCAGCUCUGACAUAUAUGUUUGUA